ensembl:lncRNA
UCCGCCUGCAGUGCACGAGACAUAAGAGACUUGGGUUCGAUCUCUCAUUGGGGAAGAUCUCCUGGAGGAGGGCACGGAGACCCCUCCACACCCCGCUCCGGAAAAGGCACCCAAACCAGAAACCACAGAUCUCACUCCAGUCCUAUUGAUCCUCUGCAGCAAAAGGCCAAAGGCAAAUAAACCAGUCACACAAGCAAAAGAGGCUGGAUCAAAGAGCCUCACCACUAGGCAUCCAAAGUUUGAGAGAGGAAAAUAGAAAAGUUAACCAAAUGCCUAACUUCAUGCAAAGAAUCAUAAUGCCGUUCUCCAGCUUACUGUGCAAACAGCAUAAAUACAGGAUGUAACUAACACCUGCCCACACUACUUGCUAGCCAGACUGGACACAAGCGCACCCGGAGGUCGGCGGGCGCCGGAGACACCUCUCCAGCGAGGGAAACCCGCAGAGACUCCUCUGGAGCCGCCGAGCCGGCGAGGAAGUAAAGCUCUGUUUUCUGCCUAUCGGUCCAGGCUUUCUCUCGGAUCCCCUCCGCCUCACCGCGCAGCGUACCUGCAGCCGCCGUUCUGCCCUUGAGCCCUCAGCUACCGCUCCGGAUCCCGGCACACGCAAGUCUGCUCUGCGGCUCCCCAGUCGCGCCAGCCUAGCUGCUGCCCUGGCGCCACUACGCAUGCCCGGCCGGCAUUCUGGCAGGCAGACUCCGAAUCCACUUGCCGCGUUUUGACUGCGGCUCCCGGGGGAAAGGACCCGAGGCCAAGAGCUGAAGUGGAGUUGCAGGUGCUGGGAGAGGCUAGGGGGAGAGGGGGAGAGGUGGAGGGGACCUGCGCAACUUUAUCCCUACUGCCCAAAGCGACCCAGGACACAUCCUCCGCCAAACCUAAAGAUGACCAUCUACACCACUUGAGUGAGCUUACAAGUGCUUCGCGAACUUGAUCGUGGAUAGGAAUCACCUGGAGGGGUUGUUGAACCACAGAUCCCACUCUCAAGAGUUCAGAUUCAAGUAGAUCUAGAUGAGGCCCCACCAUCUGCAUGUCUAACAUUUUCUCGGGGGAAACUGGCGCUGCUAAUUCGGAUACCACAUGCGAACUUC